rnacentral:rRNA from 1 species
UGAGAGGAUGAUCAGUCACACUGGAACUGAGACACGGUCCAGACUCCUACGGGAGGCAGCAGUGGGGAAUAUUACACAAUGGAGGAAACUCUGAUGUAGCAACGCCGCGUGGAGGAUGACACAUUUCGGUGCGUAAACUCCUUUUAUAUGGGAAGAUAAUGACGGUACCAUAUGAAUAAGCACCGGCUAACUCCGUGCCAGCAGCCGCGGUAAUACGGAGGGUGCAAGCGUUACUCGGAAUCACUGGGCGUAAAACGCAUGUAGGCGGUCUUGUAAGUUGGGUGUGAAAGCCUAUGGCUCAACCAUAGAACUGCACCCAAAACUACUAGACUAGAGUCUGGGAGAGGAAAAUGGAAUUAGUUGUGUAGGGGUAAAAUCCGUAGAGAUAACUAGGAAUACCAAAAGCGAAGGCAAUUUUCUGGAACAGUACUGACGCUCAGAUGCGAAAGCGUGGGUAGCAAACAGGAUUAGAUACCCUGGUAGUCCACGCCCUAAACGAUGAAUGUUAGUCGUCGGGAGGCUCGUCCUUUCGGUGAUGCAGCUAACGCAUUAAACAUUCCGCCUGGGGAGUACGGUCGCAAGAUUAAAACUCAAAGGAAUAGACGGGGACCCGCACAAGUGGUGGAGCAUGUGGUUUAAUUCGAAGAUACGCGAAGAACCUUACCUAGCCUUGACAUUGAUAGAAUCCGAUGGAAACAUUGGAGUGCCAGUUUACUGGAGCUUGAAAACAGGUGCUGCACGGCUGUCGUCAGCUCGUGUCGUGAGAUGUUGGGUUAAGUCCCGCAACGAGCGCAACCCUCGUCCUUAGUUACUAACGGUUCGGCCGAGGACUCUAAGGAGACUGCCUUCGUAAGGAGGAGGAAGGUGAGGACGACGUCAAGUCAUCAUGGCCCUUACGGCUAGGGCGACACACGUGCUACAAUGGAUAGGACAAUGAGACGCAAUACCGCGAGGUGGAGCAAAUCUAUAAACCUAUUCUCAGUUCGGAUUGUAGUCUGCAACUCGACUACAUGAAGCUGGAAUCACUAGUAAUCGUAGAUCAGCCAUGCUACGGUGAAUACGUUCCCGGGUCUUGUACUCACCGCCCGUCACACCAUGGGAGUUGAUUUCACCCGAAGCGGGGAAGCUAAACUGGCUACCCUCCACGGUGGAAUCAGCGACUGGGGUGAAGUGGUAACAAGG